rnacentral:rRNA from 1 species
GAUGAACGCUGGCGGCGUGCCUAAUACAUGCAAGUCGAGCGAACAGAUCAGGAGCUUGCUCCUUUGACGUUAGCGGCGGACGGGUGAGUAACACGUGGGUAACCUACCUAUAAGACUGGGAUAACUUCGGGAAACCGGAGCUAAUACCGGAUAACAUUUGGAACCGCAUGGUUCUAAAGUGAAAGAUGGUUUUGCUAUCACUUAUAGAUGGACCCGCGCCGUAUUAGCUAGUUGGUAAGGUAACGGCUUACCAAGGCAACGAUGCGUAGCCGACCUGAGAGGGUGAUCGGCCACACUGGAACUGAGACACGGUCCAGACUCCUACGGGAGGCAGCAGUAGGGAAUCUUCCGCAAUGGGCGAAAGCCUGACGGAGCAACGCCGCGUGAGUGAUGAAGGGUUUCGGCUCGUAAAACUCUGUUAGUAGUGAAGAACAAACGUGUAAGUAACUGUGCACGUCUUGACGGUACCUAAUCAGAAAGCCACGGCUAACUACGUG